rnacentral:rRNA from 1 species
GUCGUAACAAGGUAGCCGUAGACAUCUUUUUGUUGGCUUGAGAUGU